rnacentral:misc_RNA from 1 species
CUUGAGCUGGUCUGCAGAGGUGCUCGCCAGGUCCAAGCCUUGACCUUUGUCUCACUUCUUCUUGGUCUCACAAACUCACUCUCCAUGCAGUUCAAAGCAUCCAAGGUCUUAUCUUUAUUUUAUUUUCUUUGAUUAAUUCAUGUUACAUCUGCUAAAUCGGUGUAUAUUCCGCAUCUGCUUUGUAUCUAAUCCCUUACCCCUCUCAAAAUUGAUUUUCUUCUAUUUCACUAUUAAAUUUAACAGAAGUUUUGAUGAUUGGAAAGUAUAAUUAUCAUUAAAAUGGGUAAGGCAAAUGUGACAUUAAUUCUAAAAAAAAUUAGGGCUUCAUGAUUAUCUCCUGCGGAUAGGCUGUAAUUAUCUUCAUAAGUUGCCUACAAUAUGUUGGCAUAAUUGCCUAGGUGGGGUUGAUGAUGCCUACUGAGUUGUGUAGAAUUCAUUUUCUGUUUUAUUUUACUAGAUUAAUGAUAUUCUCUUUGGUUAUUGUGGUUCAACAAGCAAUCGAUAUUUCACGAUCAAGGGUGUAGUAUUAUUGGUAGUAGUGGUCCUUCAUCUGAAAAGAAUUCUCGAUUUGAAAACACAGAGACAAAGGACUGAUCUUUGAUCUUUGAAUGGGAAAAAAAGGAAAAAAGAAAGAGUAAGGAAAAGGAUAUAUGAAGGGAUCUAAGUUGUUCCAUUUAUUAAAUGAAGGGCAAUUAAUGUCCUUCUUCCUACGCAAAAGGCAACUGAAAUUCCCUUCAACCGGGAACAAGAUUGUCUUCCUUAGAAGCAAAAGCAAAAAGUUUGAUUUAAGGGACUCAUUUGCUGCUCUGCGCCUUUGCCUGUGGUGUAACAAUUAAAAAGCACAAGAUCUGCUUUCUAAAGCCGUUUAAAGUCUUCAAUAAUCCACAAUAUAUAUGUACUUAUUUAUUGUCUGGUGUUCAUGCUUUCUGAUUUUUAGUUUAACUGCGAAAGAAAAUCAUAUUAUUAAAAUAUAUUAUUUUUGUUAUUAUACUCUCUAUCUCACUAUUACGUACAUAGACGGAUUUCCGUCUUUCAAUGUUCUUACCAGGCAGAAACUUCAACUAGUGGGUGGUGUUUCCUCAAUGCUCAUUGCAUCAAAAUAUGAAGAAAUCAGCCCUCCAAAUGUGGAAGACUUUUGUUAUAUAACUGAUAAUACUUAUACCAAAGAAGAGGUGGUGAAGAUGGAGGCUGACAUACUGAAGUCACUGAAGUUUGAAUUGGGCAGUCCUACAGUAAGGACAUUCCUAAGGAGAUUUACCAGUGUUGCACAAGAGGAUUACAAGAGCUUGAAUUUGCAGCUCGAGUUCCUGGGGUACUACCUUGCUGAGUUAAGUUUGUUGGAUUAUAAUUGUGUGAAAUUUUUGCCUUCUUUGGUGGCUGCAUCUGUUAUCUUUCUGGCAAGAUUCAUAAUUAAACCAAAGAUGCAUCCCUGGACUUUAACCCUGCAACAGUAUUCUGGAUACAAAUCUUCUGACUUGAAGGAAUGUGUUCUUAUCAUACAUGACUUGUAUUUGAGUAGAAGAGGUGGUGGAUUACAAGCCGUGAGAGAAAAAUACAAACAGCAUAAGUUUAAACGUGUUGCAAGUAUGCCUUCACCUCCAGAGGUACCGGCUUCUUUUUUCGAAGACCUUGAAGAAUGAAUGUUUGGCAUUUAAUGAUUUGGGAGGUUACAAGUGAAUGAGAAUGGACCCUGCUCUUGGAAUUCCUAAAAGAGAGGAAUCCUAGCAUCAGAAACAUAGCUAUUUGAGAUGUUCCAGCUUAAUCCUGGUUGAUAGAGGGGAAGUUUUUGCAAUGAUCUGCUGUGGUUUUAUCCUUGCUGGUGCUUGUGAAUCUGCUGCUUAGGGAUUUAACAGUCAGCAUGAAUGGCAUUUACUAACGCAAUUAGCUGCUAAUUAUACCUGAGGCUAGGCAACUCUUUGGAUUGUUAGGAAAUUGGAUUUCCUUGGAAAAUAUUGUAAAUGUUUUGAUGACACGGUUAUUAUUUUAUUUCAAAUGUGCCCAUGGUGUAAAAUCCUUGUGCUCUGAAAUGAUAUGUAGCCAUGCCUGUUCACUUUUUCAGGCAUAUCAGAAAUUCAUUAUAGUUCCAUCUAAAUUAGUUUAGAUGGAUUCUCACCAUGUGAUGACCGUUAGUUGUAUAACUUUUUUCUGGUGUGGGAAUUGGUCAUGGUAUGACAAAAUUGAGUGCUUGAGGCCUUGUGAUGUUCAAUUGCUUUACAUUAGAGAAGCACUUACAACUGUUUUACAAACCUGCAUUUUGAGUUAACUAGCCAUUCUGUCAAGUGGAGCAAACCUUUUCAGCAUUCAGUUUCCCUGUACUGGGAGGCUCUCUACAAUGAGUUUCAAACAAAUUACUUAAUACUUAGCUCCAAAUUGCUGCUUAUCAAACGAAAAUGAAUGAAGCAGGUAUUUGCAUAGUUAGCAUUAGAAUUCAAGAUGGCAGUGGCAGCGAAAUAGAUGGAAGUCUCAAAGCCGCAGAGUGAGGUCAACUUUAAGCAAGUCUGAUGGCUGACUGUUCUGGUCCGAGGGUAUGCGAAAGCUUCCUGGCCAAUUUACCAUUGUUGCCUCUUCAGGAACGAUUGCUUUCCAUUCUACCUUAUAUCUCUGGUUAACAUUGUUGAAUCUUGCAAUCAUAGCAUUCCUUUCUCUAUAUGGUUUGUGGACAAGUGAAUAGGCCUGAACACCAAGUGCAAGAUCAACUGUUUUACUAGUAAACAUAUCAUUCGCUGACAUUUGUCUCUCAUACUGGUACCUUCUGAUUGCUCCUCUUUCCCUCUUGUGGGCAUUCUGGUGGCCACCCAGUGCUUGCGAGCUCUGGAACUUUCUCUUGCAGAAGUUACAUGGGAAAACCUUGUUGGGAAUUGAAUUUGACAAAGAAACCUGUUCUAUAUCUACAAAAUCCCCUGGCCGACUGAUGCUCAAGUUCAACCAUUCAUUUGAGUUGCCUGCUUCAUUACCUCCAAAAUAAUUAUCUCCAAAAAUUUUGUUGUUCUUGUUAAUGGGUGAAAUUCCAGUUAUGUUGGUCUGGAAUAUCAUCUUCACCACCGGAGACUGCUAGUGUUAUGGAGGCUAAAGGAUUUAGAGGCUCUGUACGUAUAUUACUUGUGGGUGAUGAGAAAGAGGACAGGGUAGUGCAUAC